CGUGGCUAACCUGCCCUUGGGACAGAGACACCCCCGGGAAACUGGGGCUAAUCCCUGAUAGGCGAAGAACUCUGGAAUGAGUCUUCACUCAAAGGGCGUGUAGAUCAUGCUUCUACGCGUUGCCCAAGGAUGGGGCCGCGACCGAUCAGGUUGUUGGUGAGGUAAUGGCUCACCAAGCCUAUAACCGGUGCGGGCCGUGAGAGCGGGAGCCCGGAGAUGGGCACUGAGACAAAGGCCCAGGCCCUACGGGGCGCAGCAGUCGCGAAAACUUUGCAAUACACGAAAGUGUGACAGGGUCAUCCCGAGUGCCGUCCGCUGAGGAUGGCUUUUACUCAGUCUAGAAAGCUGAGAGAAUAAGGAGAGGGCAAGUCUGGUGUCAGCCGCCGCGGUAAUACCAGCUCUCCGAGUGGUGUGGAUGUUUAUUGGGCCUAAAGCAUCCGUAGCUGGCUGACCAAGUCCCCUGUUAAAUCCACCGAUUUAAUCGUUGGUCUGCGGGGGAUACUGAUCGGCUAGGGGACGAGAGAGGCCGACGGUAUUUCCGGGGUAGGGGUGAAAUCCUAUAAUCCCGGGAAGACCACCAGUGGCGAAGGCUGUCGGCUAGAACGCGCCCGACGGUGAGGGAUGAAAGCUGGGGGAGCGAACCGGAUUAGAUACCCGGGUAGUCCCAGCUGU
rnacentral:rRNA from 1 species